rnacentral:rRNA from 1 species
GGGUGACCUGCGGAAGGAUCAUUG